rnacentral:siRNA from 1 species
AGGAGUGAUUUUAACGAGACAAGU